CACACAGGCACGCGGCAGUGGUGUUCCUCGCUCUGCGCAGCAAAUCCGCCGAGCUUUGUUAUGGUUAGUCCUCGAGGCAACCGAGCGCAUGCGCCAGGACACUCAUAACUAGCAUUCAAAUCUACAAAGCCUCGAGGUGCAUGCGAGCAGUCGAUUCCUGGAGCCUGCCUCGGGAACAGACUAUUCUGACUCCUAGCACCCUGCGCCCCUCGCACGCGUAAUGAGGAGUCGAAAACAACGCACGCGUAGGUCUGCAGCAACUGCACCAGUUGCUCGAGCUCUUCCCACUGCAGGAGCUCAGAACUGACAAGAACCCUGACCAAAGCAGCGACUUCAGCAAUCCCGUGUCACACCACAGCAGAAAUGGGGCACUGCCGUACGUCAGCGAUCUCUGACUCAAGUUGAUGGGUGAAGGAAUGCUGGCUGGUUUUAUGCUAAGAAAAAAGCCUCCACAAGUUCACAUUCAGUACAAUGGAAGGACAGAACCUGCCUGCACAAAUCUAUCCUACGCUGACCUAAGCAGAAGCAUUAGAGGUCAUAUAAAUGUUCCUUGUCUUAGUUACUGAAUCUGGUUUCUGUAAUCUGAAGACACAAUGAAGCAUCAGAAAUUCCUCCUGAAUUCUUCAACUGAGUUUAUGCUGCCAUACUUAUUCUAAAAUUCUGGAAAUCUUGUGAAGGCAAGAUGCAAGUGAGAUUUCCAGUAUAUGCAAGAACUGCAUCCAAGCCUUAUAUAUGGUAAGUGCAAUAUUUGCUAUGUUGAUUUAUUAUUAUUAUUAUUAUAAUUACUGUUGUUGUUGUCAUUGUUACUGUUAUUAUUGUUAGGUUGCUUGUUUUAGCAAAGACAUAAAGUGAAACAAGUAAGUAAGACAGGGAUCUCCUGGAAGGAGUCCAGUGGAGAGCCAUAAAGGUGAUAAAAGGCUUGAAGCACCUUCCUUAUGAGGAAAGGUUGAGCGACCUAGGGCUGUUCAGCCUUGAGAAAAAAAGACUCAGAGGGGAUCUGGUCAGUGCCUAUAAAUAUCUAAGGUGAGGAAAGCAAACAGACAAGGCUAGGCUCUUUUCAACAGUGCUUGGUGAUAAAACAAGGGGAGAUGGCCACAAACUGAAGCACAGGAUGUUCCACACACAUGUGCAUAAGAACUUCUUGACAGUAAGGGUAAUGGAGCAGUGGAACAGGCUGCCCAGAGAGUCUGUGGAGUCUCCUCUGGAAAUUUCAAGACACAACUUGAUGCCUAGCUGUGCAACCUGGUCAAGGGAGCAUGCUUUGGUAGGGAAGUUGGACUAGAUGAUCUCUAGAGGUUCCUUCCAGACCCUACAGUUCUGUGACUCUGUGAAAUAUGUGAGUUGGAGUUACAAUAACAGAAAGAGUUAGUGUUAGUUUUCUUAAGAUCAAAUACAAAUUUGAGAGAAUUGAGGGAGGUUGAGAACAUCAUUUUCCUAAUAUCAAUUUUCUCUGUUUAAAGGAAUGGUAAAUGUAUAUACAAAUGUUCUUAUACUGAGUCUUUGCUGAAAAUUUGAGCUACUUAAUACAAGUGCUGAAUUUGGUUUCUUCUUCACAGAAACUUUCCAUAUACUGACAUAUAAGAAUGCAUUACUCAGUGUAACAGGUACAGUAGUCGUUGUAUUCUUGAAUUAGUAGAGCUUGCUCAGAUUCAAUGAUUCCUUGAUAUUUAGCUAGCUUAAACAGAACUGAGAUAACAGGAAAAAAGAGAGCAUGAAGAAGUCAUCAGAAUUAUCUAGCUGUGAUUAGAAAAGAUACUUGCUUACAUUCCUGAAGUCAUCCCCUCAUUCUCAUGUUUACUGUCACUCUUUAAUUGUUUUUUAAUGUUUCGUUGAACAGUAUUGAAAUGAAUGGAAGUCCAAGUCCAGUUUUAACACUUCACAAGACGUUGUGUUGUUUUGUAUGCAUCGUGUAUUAUAUAUGUAUUAAAUUUCUCCAAGCUUGCCUGAAGAUUUACUAACUGUACUUAGAGGCAUGUUUUGUAUCACAGCAAUUUAAAAAAAUAAAUUAAAUAGAAAUUAUCUAUUAUGCUGUAUUAGUGGAUGUAGAAAUAUGAGUUCAUACCUUUCAUUUAACUGUUCUAAAAGCCUACUUCCAUUAUUCAGGGGACAAAUGGCCACUUCAGUUCUACCAAGAUCAUUCUACCAUCCAAUGUUCAACCUGCAUGAAGUCUAAUUAUCCAUGCAGCUAGAGAAAUGUGAAAAAGCUGAAGCACAGAUCUUCUACAUAACCUACUUUGCAGUAUUUACAAUAACAUGGACUAAAAAAUUAGAUUGGUACUCAUGUAAAGUUUAAUGUUUAUUGUAGUGUCUCUGCACUUGACAGUAGCUAAGUAAGCCCAUACAUCUAUUAUAUUUCUUUCAUGCUGCCCAUGUGUCCGGCCUCUGUGCCCAUCAGCAGUAAUGGUCCUCAGUGCUAUUACUGUAAUUCAAAGGCAUUAACCAGAAAUUAAAUGCAUAUUAGUUAUAUAGUACGAAAUUAUGUUAGCUGAUGUAUUAAAGGCUGCAAACCACAAUCUCAAUAGCAUUUUACAAGUACCAGUGUGACAGAUAAGAAACAUAAGAAUAGGUCUUUAGAAAUAUUGUGCCUGAAAACAAUUCUGAAAGCACACUGAUAUUUUGAAAGCAUUGUUGGCUAUCUGUCAUCAUGGUUUAUCAGUAACUGACUGUCCUCAAAUUCCAGACAGCUUGUCUAAUCAUCUCCUGGUUUACUUACAGAUUUCAAAUGCUCACCAUUCCUGAUACAAGCCAUUGGCUUUCUUGGCUACCUGGGCACACUGCUGGCUCAUAUUCAGCCAACUGUCCAUCAGCACACCAAGUGGAAACAUCAGUUUAUAAUGGCAGAGAUGUACAAGGAUACCUGUGAAGUGGCACAACAGAUGACACCUUUCAUGCAGGAAGAAGUGAGGGCAGCAUCAAAAGGGGAUAAGCUACCACUGAACUCUGAAGUUUAUGGGCUCCUGACUGUCCUUAUGGAUUGGAUCUUAGAUGAGCUCCUUAGCAAACUCAAGAAACAAGAAAGAGAGGACGGCCAGAAACCUCAGUGUAGCAGAAGAACCUACAUCCAGGAAAGUGUUUGAAGGUAAAGGGACUUGAGUUUGCUCUGGUUCAUGUGUUUUCAGAUUCACGUAUAGACUGACUGAUUUUAUUGUGAGAGUAGAAAAGGUCAGCCUGUUUUGUAUAGACCUGGGAUAGAGCAAUGAAAGCAGAAUGACAGUUACUAAGUCAGUAUUAAUCCCAGCAGUCAGAUGGAAUGGCUGCAUUGGCACUUAUAAAACAGAGCCGUCGUUUUGAAGGAGAAGUGUCGUGUUCAGUCUCAACUUGCAAGUUUCAGCCUGUCUUUUAUUACCUGUGGUUUUUGCCAGCUGGUGAUUUAUCUUGUAUGUUGUGUGUAACACUGUAUAGAAUUCAUGUUUUCCUACAGAGAUUCUCACACCUAAUUAAAAAUGUUUUAAUGUCUACGUUGGAUGUCAAAGUUUCAGAUAAUGACUCAUAACAGAUGAUGCUAUGCUCUACUGAAAGCCCUUCCUUCCAUCUCUCUGGGGAUAACAAGGCUUGGAAACCAAUGUGGUAUUCUUUAUUGCUUUCCUUCAUUCUGUGCAGUUUGUAGGCACUGGCAUUGGCCUUGAUAGAUGAGUUCACACACCGUACCUCUGCUUUGCAUGCAAACCUGAUUAAAACUUAAAAUCUAAGUAAGUAGGUAAUUCUUUUAUCUCUAGAGGACCUGACCAGUGAGUGUUCGCACAUGCAAUCUGACAAACUUCAGGAGUAAUUUGAGAUUUUGGUUUGUUUGGGUUUGGUUUUUGGAGUCUUGUUUUCACUUGUAGCCUGCUCACAUGCUAAGCUGACAUUCUGCAUGUAACUUCGCCUUUGUGUGUUUUUACAGCUUCUGCCUGUGGCUGCGGAGCAGCUCCAGUGCAUGUCGUUUGUGAAUCCUAAACUGCACAUGCCCCUGAUGAGACUGAUAUACUGGUUUGUAAGGCAGCUAGACAAUGAUACUAAGGUAAAUUCUCUGCAGAUAUUCAGGCAUUUUGUAUUUUAAGUACACAUAGAAAGUGGACAUUUUCAGGGUGUAUGUAUAAUAGAAACCUGGCUGUCUUUGCUAAACAUCAAUUUGUAACAGAGAAAUGGAAAAGUAUGGCAAAAAAAACUUCUCAUAAAUGGAACUUUCUGAGAUCAUUUUAUUGAUUUUUGCAUAGUCUAUGAAAACAUAUUUUUACGUACGUAUGCAAUCGCUGUUGCAGUAGUGUCUAAGCAUCUCAGGAAAUACAUUUUUAUAAAUAUGCUUAGCAGAGUUGGCAGUUAGGAAAGGAAACACAUUUUUGUUUACUUUAUGUGCGAGAUUAGCUGAAAUUGAUGGCAAAGUGUGGCAGAGCAGCAUGGGAACUUUGGCUUUGUCCUCUGCUUAAUGUCCCACUGAAUUCAUUGUUUUUCUUGACAAGGAGAAGCUAUUUUAAAUGAUCACAGUGUAAAGUUUGAUUCUGAAGUAAUAUUUCUGCACAGUUUGUGAUGAAAAUUUGAAUUACUGUACCUUCCCUGAAUGGCGUUCUGAACAUUCAUGUUUAGAUCUGCAAAUGCUUUUGCAGCUCGUGACUUCAGGCAUCUGCACAGGGCAACGUAGGUAGCACUGAUUGAAAUGGGGUUUCCUCUGCAAGCAGGGGCAGCUCAAAUAAAGUCAGCAUAUCACGGGCCCUCUUUCCCCAGUCUCUUUGUGCAGUUAGUGUUGAUAAGGCCCUGUGCUGAUGGCAUUCAGUUGCUUUUGUAAUGCAAGCAGUAUCUUCUGUGCAGAUUCUGUUGUGACACACGAUCGAACAAUUUGGUAUUUCACACGUAAUCCUUAGGGGAACAGAGUAGAUGGGAGCUUUGUGUGCUUUCAUGUUUACACUCAACAUGCACACUGCUUGAUUCAGGACCCAACAAUGACAGAAAUUAUUAUGAGACUUGCUGAAGAUAUUUUCACAGGCAUAAGGAAUAAUGGAGAUGUGCACAGUUCUUCCAGCCGCUGUGCAAAGAGUGAAUAAAAAUCAGCACUCUUUACAAGUCCUUUUAUGCCUAUGAGGUUUCUGUCAACUAUGGCUGUGCUUGCAAUAGAGACACCAGGUAAGCUCUGGGUUUUACUGAAUCUUUUCAUUAUGAUUCUAUGAUUCUGUGAUUAUUUUUUUUUAUUUUUUUUAUUUUUUUAUAUUUUUUUUAUCCCUUUUAGUUUUUCCUUUUAGUUUCUCUCAUCUGUAUUUUUUUUCCAGGCGUGUACCUGGACAAAGUCCAGCAGUUCCAUGAUACCAUAGUGUCCAUGAUGCUUUCCUAGUGAACAGAGUUUCACUUGCAUGAUACUUCCUUGUACAGCCAAAUGCACUGAAACAAAUAUGAACCUUGCUAUUAUUCACUUCAUGUUGUAAUUUCUGUGGCCAUUGUAAUACAAUUUAUUUUAAUCAGAGAGAUGGCCAACGUGAUAAAGGAGAACACAGAUGAUGGUAAUUGUUUCAAGCAGGUGCUACAGCAGUAGCCAAGAUCUUUAGUGCGUAUAAUGGUACAGCACUUCCUCUUCUGUCAAGUGAAAAAAGUAGCACAUUUCAACUGGUUCUAGAAUAUCACUGUCCUCUUUAAGCUGGUAGAUUUUUCACCUUCCCUUGAAAGGCUGGUCAGCUGCAGUGCCAAGCAUUUCUUUUCUGGUAUAGUUAGCUAUAAUGUUCUACUUCUGCCGUUAUAGAUCCACGGACAGAUAGAUCAGAUAGAUGUGUGGUGUUCAUGGGUACGUCUGAGAAAACCAGUGGUGGAAUAGCACAUUGGGCUUCAACAUAUAUCCUGCUUCCCUCGAGAUGUUGGUCUCAGCAGAUGGCACUGUAAUUAAACUUUUGCCACCAGAUAAACUUUUUUCCUUUGUACUUUACCAGGUGAUCAGUGCUAUUCCAAGAUACUGAGAAAGAUUUCACAUCAGGAGAUUAAGAAGAUUUGAUUGUUUCCCUUGACCUAAUAUCUUUGCAUCGUUUAGUGCACUGCAGAACGAAUGGACGGCUGCAUGAAAUACGUGCAGCAAAAGUUAAACUACAGCUUUGGAUGGAAAGGAAUGGUAGUAGCUGCUGUCCUGAAAGUCAUGGCUCUUAUUCAGAUGAAUGACCCUUUACUCCCUCAACAGAGGCUUCCCAGAUGUUGAAGCCUACAUGGUCUGAAACUAUCCAGUUUCCAACUUCUUUUCACUCUUAAGGAAGAUACUGGAAAGGUUUUGUGUUUUCUUUGGUGUGCAAGUUGUAGCUGGCCUUUUUGUCCACUCCCAACUGUUUUUUAAGGAAGAAGAUGAGGCAGAGGAUGUCUUUAAGUGAACUACCUGGAGCAGGCAUUCUGCUGUGAUACUGAGAUCGGUUUUAUAGCAGACCCCCACUUGUCUCAGAUCAGGUCCGUGUCCGUACCAACAGAGGUACCUCAGACCUGGCUGCUGCUCACACAUAUUUCUAAAAAGCAAAAGCUUUCACAAACGAUACAGAAACCUACCACAGCUCAAGGAGACGCUGCAGAACCACCUCUGUGAGAGACCUCUGUGGGCUCAUCUGCUGAACCCAUCAGGAAACAUCUCAGCCAGCUGCAAAUGGCAUUCCCCAGGCCUGCUGUGCUGUGCCAAAGGCUGCACAGUCUUUACCAAUUCUGAUUUCAGAUCUACCUUAAACUUGGAUUCUGCUUUUUGGGACAUGUCUGGUUUUGUGUUCCUUCAGCUCAGAGGGGUUACCCUGACAUCUGCAAGACCCAUUGUUUUGGGAUUUGCUGCCGUUCCCAGGGAGUCAUGCAGCAUCGCAGCAGCUAAGCUCCAGUCCCUUCCCCAGUCUCAGUAGGAUCAGUCCCUGUGCUGACAGAACUAACUCCACUGUGGUGCAGAAAGUGCCACUCCUUUAUUCCUUGCAACAUGCACCAGGUGACAUGACAAGCAAGCGCACCCUCUGAGUUCAGGAUCUACAUUUGAACAGUUCUGACAUGCAUAUUUUGUUGGCAUACAAAUCCAUUCUUUUUCAAGGACUCAGAUAUGUGCUAAUGUGCCUUUGGAUGCCCAGUGCUACCUAGGGUGGUCGGCUGCCCACCUAUUAUUUCCCAUUUCCCACCAUCAGCUUUACUAUGGGACUUCUGACCCACUGCCAUCCACUUUCCCCAUUUGGAAGAUUCCCAUUGAUUUUUAGGACACAGUGAGCCACUUUUCAACAACAGUGCAUGUUGAGCCUGAGGGAAAUGUCCUUGUACUGCUUGAGGCAAAAGAUAAAUUAUUCUAUUAUGUCCCCAGCACAAAAUUAUUGAGGAAAACAAGAUAUUUGCCCACUCAAGCUGAAAUGUAAAGGUUUCAGAACUAUCACUCGUGGAUUCCUUUAGCUAAACUAGUAUACAGGUUCUUAAACUAAUGGACUAAUCCUAUUGGUAAACAAACCAACUUAUAUCAGCAGAGAGUAGAACAAUUCAGAUGUUUGCUCUGUGAUCUCUUUUGUCUAAAGCUUCUUCUAUGGAGGUUGUGGCAUUAUGAACAGUAAUACAUUACCCUCUGGUUAGAUCUAACAUGCCACGUGCACUCUGCUAAGUCUUGAGUAACAGCACAUCAAGCAGUAACUGCUGUUGCAAUGCCACUUUCAGUACUUGCACCUCUUGUGAGUUUACCUCUUGUGAGUUUAACUCUUCAAAAGCAUGUCUCGUCUAAUUUGACAACAUGUGGACUUGCUAGGUAGUGUUUUCAAAGAUCUUUUGAUGUUUUGCCCAGACCAUAUCUAGAGCAAAUAUGUUCUCUCAUAUCAUAGAGAUUCUCUGUCCAGCGGUCAUCUCUGAACUGAACUAACACUCAAUUUGGGCAGAGUUUUUACAGAUUACUGUACCACACUGCAACUCUGCACGUUGCUCUAAGGUUAAAUACGAAUAGAAUUUUCCACUUGACCAUCUCCAAAGCAGUCCAAAUGGUUCAGAAUAAAAACUGAUUUGGCCAGUUCACAUAUUGAUACAGUCUACAGAAUUUUCAGAGAGCAGUGUGUAUAGGAUAGCCCACAAUAUAAACUACAAGAAGGGCAACCCCAGCACGUACACACCUCUUAUCGAAGCUUAGACGCUUUCCAUCAACCAUGUGUCUAAUGGAACUCAUGGACUGGUGUAGCAAUUAAUGACUCCAUGACACUACAUCACGUUGCAAAGGGCUUGAUGAUGGGUUUCUUCUGUGACCACACUUAAUGGAUAGUAGAUAGGUCCCUAGGUUCAUUUCCCAGUCUGUUAGGCAGUUGGAUAUACCACGGAGGAAUCACAUGCAAAUCAUCAUCAGGUUGAUAAAGGGAGUGAACGAAGGGGUCAAAAGGAAUGGUACCACAGUGCAAGGAGUGCUGGUGAGCCAGGAUGACCUGCAAAACCUGUUUGUGUUGACCCAAGUGUGAAGUUUAACAAAUCUGAGAACUGACAUCACCACCUACAACCACCCAAACAAAAUACUAUUAAGAAGCACACAGACCUAGCUCUGGGAAGCAAUCAACGGCAAAGCCAGCUGCCAAGGGUUAAUGCUUGGCAUGUGAAUUCCGAUGAAAUAAGAUAGGAGUCUGGGUUGGUUGGUAUUUUUGUUUGGUUGUUUUUUUCCUUUGUGUGUGAUUUCAUAAGUUUGUUUUUUAAAUAAUCCUCAUUUUAUUUAAAAAAUAAUUUAAGAAUUACCUCAAGCUUCAACUUUGUUAGGCAUGGCACUAUUGAACUUCCGACUCCAGAUAAGCUUAUUUUAGCAUUUUUAUUUCACAACUCCAUGAACAGCACAAUUCUAGUCUAAGAAUUAUUCCUUUUGCACUACUGUUGGGAAAAAAAAAAAAGAAAAAAAAAAAAAAAAAAGAAGAAAGAAAAUGCUUUAUCAGUAGAAAUUCCUCAAUUACAUUCCAAAAGGGAAUUUCAUAGUCAUUAAACAUUUGCUCAGAUCCUCUUGAUAUAUCUCAUAAAGAAGGAUCAUUGGGACCCAGCUCCAUUCUAGGUAUUUCCAUUAGUCUACUUGUGGCCCUGUUUUGCUUGCUCGUGACUCACACUCUGAAGAAUUUGCUUUUUCAAAGUGCCAUACUUGGGCUUCAGAGAUGCUCUGCUCAGGAAAACACAUUUCCAUUUCAAGAACAAACACUCUCAUCUUUUUAAGUUUAAUAAAAGCUUUAAAACCCAAUGAGAUGAGAAAAGCAAUGCAAACUGUAGCAACACAGUAACACCAGGGUGCAGAUUAUCUUCAAACAUCAAGAUUUCAUGGGCUCAUUUCUUGUUGACAGUACAAUGCUCAUACAUUUCUUAAAAUCUAACCAACCAGCUUUCCCUCGAUCCUGCAAAAAUGCAUGCACAGAUUGAUCUACAGCCUCAUUUCAUCUAAUGGAUAUUCUAAGGAAAACCAGGCCUUUAUUUUUAUCCAGUUGCGUGUCAGGGGGAUCAGAACACCUGCCUAUGGUAAAAUACCACACAACAUGCAGCGAUAAUGCCCAGCCUGUCUGCCACAGAGACUCUUGCAACCUUCUUCCCUGGUGGUCAAUUUGCAAAUACUCUGGACUGUUGCUGUAAAGAAACUGCAACAAAACCAGUGCAUCCUGAAACCAUCAGAUCUAUUGGGAACCAGCUGAGCUGGGACUUCUCCAGGAAAGGUGGUGGCCAGGAAACACCAGCAUCUGAGCAGCUAUUUCAUUUGGCCCAUGCUGCCUGCAUCUUGCCCAGAGGGCUCUCCAGCACGGAGCAGCAGGGAGUAGAAAGGAAGUUGAGUUGGUCAAAUUUCUUGAAAUGAUACCGUAGAAUAAAUACGUAUCAAACUUCUAAAUCUUGUUUUACUGACAAACUUUAUUAUCACUAGGCUGUCACGUGAAGAAAAACACCUUAGAUUAGCUUUCAAGUACUCACUGGCAUCAAAGUUGUUCCUCUUUAUGUAAAUCCUUUGAAGGUCCUGAGGCAAACACAGGAGCAAAAACAUAUAAAUAAGGGAACCAAGGCAGCUCAUGGAGUGGCACUGCAGACUGCUGCUCAGGCCAGCUCCCGUACACCCUUCCCAUGCAGCGCAGUGAGGCUUCUCACAAGGAGAUCAGCCUUCCAAAACGCACAGGAAAUCAACAGAACAGAAAGGUCAGCCACAAAAUUCAGCAGUUGCUGGAAGCAGAGUUGUCUUAUCUUUCACAAUUGCUUGAAAUGACAUACAUUGCUCUUCACACAUGUCAAGUGAUGGUGACUUACGAGGAAUACAGGAGCAUCAGCAAUCACACCCAGCCCAUGGUGUUGAGUGGAACAGCCAAGGGCAAAGCAGAGGCUGGGGCAGCGUGACAGCUCAUCCUUGAGGGGACUGAGGACUUCCCUCACAAUUUUCCACAAGUUAACUGCACAAAAAGGAGCAAACAAGUGAAGGAAGCCAAGCAGUAUUUUAUUGACUCCCACAAGACAGAUAUGGAUUGCAUACAACCCUGGAAAACUUCUUACUUUUUAAAAUCCUGGAAUUAUAAACGAGAGAACCCAUUCCUCAUAAAUAACCUGGCACCAUUCCUUCAUCAAAAGAUUGUGACAUGGAACAGAUUUCCUUUACAGUUUCAUUAAAAUUAUUCAUUUGAACAGCUUAAAAAACUAUGCCUAUAAUAAUACUUAAAUAUAUUGCUCAUAUUUGUGACUUAGUAAAAAAAAUAGUUUGAGCUAAUACUUUCCUAGUGUUCAAAAAAAUCCAAAGAGAGAUCAACGUCUCAUUGAGUAAUUCAGAAAGAUGGGUAAGUUAUUUGUUUGAAAUUAUAAACCUCAUUUAUCAACAGACUGAGUCCCUUAAAAAUGUGUGUCUCACUUAUUAAUGCUAAUGAUCCCACAAAAAUGCACACAGAGCAACCAGCUUUCCCUCAAUCCUGCAAAAUGUAUGCACAGAUUUAUUUACAGCCAUAAAGGCAUUUCUGCAACAUUCACAAGAUGGGACUGAUCUCAAUAGUAAAAGCUCAAGCAUUUGCAAAUUCUGACCAAAAAUCAUUUGAUUACUUUUAGCUUUAGAAUAAGUCAGUCUGAACCUCAGUGAGAUGACAAUGGCAAAGGCCCAGACUGCAUUCAGAAACUGUUGCCCUCCUGCUUCGUGGGGCUGGCAGAGGCCAUGAGAGCACUCCCCGUUGUAAUGCAGAAACAGACAGUACAGCUUAAGCUGCCAACAAAGCUGAAUCAACACAGCCUGUCUACUACAGCGCACAUUUGUUCCACUGGCACCUGGAAAACUUGGUAGCCUCUGGAAGCAUCAGUCUUUUCUGAAGGGAUCCGUGGACUUGCUUGCCUUCCUGCAGUGCUUGCUAUUAUCCAUACUACCAUCAAAAGCACACCAAUUGCGUUUCCACGCACCACUGCCAAGACACUAAUCCAGAGGCUGAAACUAACACACUAGUGAUUUAUCAGGCCUGACCUUUUUGAAGUUGAAAAUGGGUUCCUACUUGGGAACUAACAAAGCAGCAUGUCUCCUUGACGUUCAUAAUAGGCCAGAAGUGCUUUCUAAAAAGUCUCCAGUGGUCCAAGUAGUCGGUAACCCCCCAAGAGAUGCUUGGUCUGAGGUAUGGUAACUUCAGUGACAGCUUCAGAAGGCAAAGGCUUUAGCCAUAGGGCUGGCUGAAGAAUUCCUUUGCUCCACUUCACUUCCCCCACAAAUGUGCCAACACAACCCAAAGCUGCAUCUCUGACCCAGUGCAGUUCUCAAAACAACCCUUGACUUCAAAGUAUGGACCAGCCCAUGGAUCUGAUGUCCUGGGCAGCGCAGGCAAGAAGUGGGGAUUAGACACACUUGGCUUGGAUUUUGUGUCAGAAACUUCUGUGUCAAGGAACAUCUCCUUCACUGUUUGCAAAAGAAUGAUGAUCACCAAGGGGCUUUCCAAAAAGCAAGCAUGACACUUGAAAAGGUAUGAGCCACAGGAUGGGUUUGGACAUAGACUUUGGGAGCAGAUAACUGGUUUCAGACAUUCUCUAAUCCACACCUAAAUAUCAUAUACUAAAAAGAGUUUUUAAUAGUGCCUUUAGUACACCAGCUAAUCAAACAAAUCUCAAAAUAUUUUCUUUCUAUUUUACAUUUUUACAUAAAGCUGAAGUGUUUACAUCUUUAUGAAGAAGACCUAACUAAUUGUCAAAGCAAAUUAAACCACAUUUAAGAGCAACUUACCCAAUUAGUUUCAUGAAGACCAUCACACAUGUAAAGCCAAAAGGUAAUGAAAUCUUGAAAAGGACACAACAACUUGAAUGAAAACAGAAGAGAAGUUUUAACAACCUUUUUGUCCAUACAAGAGCUUUUCAUUUCUUUAAGAAGAGAACAAUUAAUGUUCACUGAGUGACUUUUUUUUGGCCAUUCAAGCUUAGUGACCUCAAAAUGAGCAAAUUUUCCUAAAUUGUCAUGUUGUAAUUAUUAUUGUAACUCUAAUGAGUUCAAAGGAUAUACAAAUCACCUACAUCUAAACAGAGUUCUGUACAUUAUAGACUAAACUGCAUAACUUACAAAUAAUCAUUUUGUUGUUUCCAGUUUACAAUGGUUUUAAAAAAAAAAAGACUUCACAAUGUGUGUAAAUGGGAGGUAAAUGUAUUUUUAAAA